rnacentral:rRNA from 1 species
AUUGAACGCUGGCGGCAUGCCUUACACAUGCAAGUCGGACGAGUGGCGAACGGGUGAGUAACAUAUCGGAACGUACCUAAUAAUGGGGGAUAACUAAUCGAAAGAGUAGCUAAUACCGCAUACUAUUCGAGCUGCCGAGGUGGGAUUAGCUGGUUGGUGGGGUAAAGGCCUACCAAGGCGACGCUCCGUAGCUGGUCUGGGAGGAUGACCCGCCACACUGGGACGGAGACACGGCCCAGACUCCGACGGGAGGCAGCAGUGGGGAAUUGUGGACAAUGGGCGCAAGCCUGAUCCAGCCAUGCCGCGUGUCUGAAGAAGGCCUUCGGGUGGUAAAGUACUUUUGGCAGGGAAGCGUUACCUGAAGAAUAAGCACCGGCUAACUACGUGCCAGCAGCCGCGGUAAUUC